UCCCUUUUAGAUCGGGAGGUGGAUGUGCGCCACAGCAAACCCUAGGAACAAAGAAGGAGAUAUUCCAAUUUUAUUCCCCGAUUUAUCCUCGCCCUAUUCGUCUCCCUUCUUCUCCCUAUCGACAGGGGAUUGACUCCGCCGCUUCUUCUUCGCCUCUCAAUUCGCCCUCACCAUGUCGAAAAGGACCCUUUGCAAGUUUUUCGCGCACGGAGCUUGUUUGAAAGGGGAAUAUUGUGAAUUUUCUCAUGACUGGAAAGACCCGCCCAAUAAUAUAUGCACCUUUUAUCAGAAAGGGGUGUGCUCUUAUGGUAGCCGUUGCAGAUACGACCAUGUUAAGGUCUCUGGUAAUCAGACAUCAGUUCCUUCUGCUUCUGCAGCAUUGCGCGCUCAUUUGGGUCCUAUUCAAACUUCAAAUCCUUCUGGAUUUCCUUUGGACGGUCAAGCUGUGAUAUCGUCUUUGAGUAAACCAGCCUGGACUUGCAAUUUUCCAGAAGAAGAUAGUAGUAGCCUCUCAGAGUAUGGACCAUUACAUCUUCCCAGAUCUGUUCAACCUUCUGAUCUCCCAAUCUGCUCUUUCGCUGCUGCCGGUAGUUGUCCUUAUGGGGAACAGUGCCCUCACACCCAUGGGGAUCUGUGUACGAUAUGUGGGAAGCAAUGCUUACACCCGUAUCGUCCGGAUGAGAGAGAGGAGCAUAUUAAACUAUGUCAGAAAAAUAGCAAGCGCCUCGAGGCUUUGAAGCACAGCCAAGAGAUAGAGUGCAGCGUGUGCUUGGACCGCGUGCUUUCAAAACCCUCUGUUGCUGAAAGGAAGUUUGGAUUGCUUUCAGAAUGCGACCAUCCCUUUUGUAUUUCGUGCAUUAGGAAUUGGCGUAGUAACUCUCCUGCCUCUGGUAUGGAUGUGAACUCCGCAUUAAGGGCUUGCCCGAUUUGUCGGAAGCUAUCUUAUUUUGUAAUUCCUAGUGUUAUUUGGUAUGCUUCUAAGGAGGAGAAAGAGGAAAUUAUCGACAGCUACAAAGCCAAGCUCAGGUCAAUUGAUUGCAGAUACUUCGAUUUUGGAAAUGGGACCUGUCCGUUUGGGACUAGCUGUUUCUACAAGCAUGCUUAUAGAGACGGUCGUUUAGAGGAAGUGGUGUUACGGCAUCUUGAUGCUGAAGACGGAAACACAGUCAUUGCUAAAAAUAUUAGGCUCUCAGACUUCCUCGGCAGGUUGCACCUUUAGGAUCCAACUUGUGUAUAUAUACUCUAUGUGAGGUGAGACCCUUAUUAUCUGUGCAAUAUGUUCUUAGUUUCUUCUUAUUUUACUUUUCCCCUCGAAAUAAAAAUAUUUGAACCUCAAAACUUCUUGGUGGGGAAAUGCUUGGACACAGUUCUACAAAUAGCGGUGAAUUGACAUUCAGAACUACUUUCGAGUAUCUUAUUUUCUUGAAGUGAAAGUAGAGGAACCAUGGUGAUGGACAAGACGCAGAUCGAAAACCUUUCGAUAUCCUUUUAGGAACAGGGGCUAUGUUCUUUAAUAUGACAGCAAUUAAAAUUUGAUUAGCUCGCUACACGAGUCGAACCAAGUUACAAACCUGCUGCCUUCCUUUUUCUUUCGUUUUUAUUUUCAUAAUUCUAGCAUAAGUAUGUUCUUUCUGUUAUUAUCACUAGUUACGGCUCUUAGCAGAUGAUGUAUAUGUUCUUGCAAUUAACUAUACUCGUUUCAACCUUGCUCUUCUUUCUCAGGGUACCCAUGCGUAUAUUGGGGUUAUUUUCCUCUUCAUGUAUCAAUAACUUGUUUUACAAUUUGAGUUCCUCCAACUGCAUAUGAACAACGAUGGAUAGCGAUUUGAUUGGUCCGCGUUCUGAGGUUACUUUUCUAUCCUCAUGCGCACAAAAACUGCAUCCCGUGGUUACUUUUCUAUCUUCAUGUGCAUCAAAAAGGGAAUACACUUUUGGUGAACCGUACUUCCUGAGCAAUCAGAACCUGAGUGGGACCAAGGGAUGCAGAUAAUGUGUUGUUACAAAUAAUAUAUGCAAGAGGAUGGAUGAAAAUUGAAUACACUAAGCUGUGUGUGGAGUCGCAGCACAGCCUUAGUGAUCGUUUGCCGAGAUCUUCAGAUUCAAAUAGCUUACAGAUGUAAAAACAAUGAAAUAAUCGAUGAGGUUUCACAUUAUUAAUAAUGCAAGUAUUCUCCCGGUAUCUUGGAUGAAACUCUUGAACUGUAGGGGGCCUCAUUUGAUGAGAAUGGGCUUAACAUUGUAACCUUCUUGGAUGUGAAUGCUCAACUGCGCCGCCACAAGCGCACGGGCGCUGCGACCUUAAAUAUGCUUACCUUUUGAGCAAAGCAAUUCUCAGUAAAUAGUCUUAAAAUGCUUUUUGUUA